ACUAUUGAAUAUUAUCUAGACUAUUUAAACUGUCAUAAAAUUAAAUUUUAUAUUUUUUCGAUAUUAUUCUCUUGACUAUCAAGCGGACACAAAAAACAAACAAUUGAAAAUGAAUAAAAUGUCACAAAAUUAAUAGUUUUUAACAGCUGGUAUGAAAUACUUGCUAGUUUAACGGUAUAAAAGAAUCAAAAUAGAUUAAAUUUUUGAUAGAAAAUUUUAUUCACUACCUAGAUAAAGAUCAAUAUCUUAUAAGAGUACAGUAGCCCUAGCCCUACUCUCUCUCUCUCUCUCUCUCUCUCUCUCUCUCUCUCUAGAUAUAUAGAACUAGGCCGGUAUACUAUCGGUAGCAUGGAGGCCUCCGUGCUACUAAAUUAUUUUCGAUGAUGCGGCUUUCAAAUCAACGAUCGGCUUCACUAGACUUAAUGUACACUCUUGAAAAUAUUUGAAAACGAAAUUUCAUAAUUUUUCGACAUUAUUUAGCUAGUGAUCAAAAUGUCUCAAAAAUGAUAAUUUGAUGACCGAUGUGAGCGUUUGUGAAUUUAACGGUGUAAAACAAUCCAAAUCUGAUGAAAUUUUUAUAAAUUUUUUUUUUUAGUAUUUAGAGUAAGAUCGGUAGCUCUGGUUUUAAAUUCAAGUCUUUUAUCAUCAGUUUUUAUGAGAUUUUUAUAGUCAGCGCUUUCAUCUUUAGACUACUCGUUUGAUAGGUAAAUGAUGUCGAAAACUUAUAAAAUUUAGUUUCCAAAUACUUUCAAUAGUGUAGAUCAAGUCUAACGAAGCCGAUCGUUGAUUUCGAAGCCGCAU
rnacentral:lncRNA from 1 species